GGAGGGUUGGCAGAACGGCUAAUGCACCGGUCUUGAAAACCGGCGGGCGCAAGCCCAUCAGGGUUCGAAUCCCUGGCCCUCCG
rnacentral:tRNA from 1 species